GACGUAGGGGACGAGCGUUGUCCGGAUUCAUUGGGCGUAAAGCGCGCGUAGGCGGUUACGCAAGUCGGUUGUGAAAGCCCCCGGCUCAACUGGGGAGGGGCACGCGAUACUGCUCGACUCGAAGGCAGGAGAGGGAAGUGGAAUUCCCGGUGUAGUGGUGAAAUGCGUAGAUAUCGGGAGGAACACCGGUGGCGAAGGCGGGUCUCUGGGCCGUAACUGACGCUGAGGAGCGAAAGCAUGGGGAGCGAACAGG
rnacentral:rRNA from 1 species